rnacentral:lncRNA from 1 species
CCUAACCUAGUUAUCCUCAGCCAUCCCAUUUAAUCAUGGGUCCAAAUGCCCUCAAAAACUAAUCCAUUGCAAUAUAUAUAGUCCACCCCUAGUCUAUUUUGGACAACUCUAAAAAUUAUCCCCUUGUCCCAUCAGGGCGCCGUUACCCCGGUUCUUCCUUGAUUUCCCCAUCGGACAAAUCCCACGGCCUUGCUAGAUCCUCGAUGCCCGACCACCAUCGACCGCCUCCGCAAUCCCCCGUGAGCCUAUUCCACUUCAUCAGUCGAGCGCUGUCAUCGGCAGACCUCCACUGCUGCGCUCCUGCAGCCCGCGUACCCCGUGCCUCCCCUGGUCUGCGCCCUUGCUUCGCCAUCGGAAGGAGCAUCCUCGCCAUGGCUCUCGCUCGUGCGUCCACAAGCCACCCCAGUGCCCGAGCUCCCUCCGCGUGGCUCGCGCUGGCCCCCUCACCCCUGCAUCGACCUUGCCGACCGAAUCCAUAGGACCUCCUCGCCGCAGCCGUGCUGCCCCACCGCCAUCGCCCCACCUCAUUGCAUCCUCAUGAUCCCGUCGCCCCACAGCCCCGUCCUCGCGCCCCACCACCAUUCGCCGUCCACCACUGGUCGUCACACACCUGGGGCCUGCUGUAGUUGUCGUCGCCGGUUGCCAUGCCCUGCCGCACUGCCGAUGCUCAUCCCCGCCUCAUUGCCAGACACCCUGGUCGCUCGCCUGGCCUAGCCCAGCGCCAGCGCCUCCAGGCCGGCCCACAUGCGUCCCCAACCGCGGCCGAGCUAGGUAGCUCCCCCAAGACGGCCUACCUCUCCAUCGACUGGGCGUGGAUCCCACGAGGUGAGCACUCCAGCAACCAUAUGGAUCACGCUCUACGCGAGUUUUCUUUCCGGCGGUCAGUUGUGUGUAUCCUAGUCCAGGAGAUUCGGUUCAGUGUUUUUUGCUAUAGCAAUUUUAUUAAUUUCUAGUGAAUUGCGGAUUUACACAAAAACCCUUCCACUCAUGCAUAUAAUAACUUUACAACCGUGCAUCGGAUUAAAAUAAAUUAAACAUGUAAAUUGCUUAGAAAUUUUGUGUAGUUUCAUAAUAUCCAACUUUCAACCAUGUUUAAAAUGUUUAACUUUCUGUUUUUAUUUAAUUUGCGCAAAUGCCAUGUUUAAAUGAUUUAAUUGAUAAUGAAUUAACCGUAGCUCCGAUUAAUAUGUUCCACACAUGUAACUUGGCGAGAAAAAUAUGUAGAAUAACAUGGUGACAUUUUUUUUACUGUUUAACAACUCUGAAAUUGUGCUAUAGGCAGAACAUUGUCGAAUCUUAAUUUGCUUAUGGAGACUUUCCGAAAUUGUUAUUCGUUGUUCCGGCCUUAUUUAAACUUGCGUAUAAUUUCAUGUAAUCUCAUAUUAUCUUGUGGCAUCCAUCAUUAACAUGUUGUGGCUGUCAUUUGUAUGCAUUUUGCAUCCAUGUCAUAUUAUCUUGUCAUGAUCACAUCUUUUAAAUCCUAGCUCCGUUUUAAAUGAUUUAUGUAUGUAAAUCGACUAAAAUGAUGUGUAGAAUCUCAUGGUCCACUUUAUUUUUCUGUUUAAUAAAUAUAAAAUGUGUUUAGCACAGAUCUGGACUAAUUUCAAAAUUAACAUAUGGGGUCGCUUUGGAUAUACUAUAAGUUGUUUCUGUCCUCAUUUAAAAUGCCUAGAUGAUGUUGUUCUUCAUGCUUCACCUCUUGCCAUGUGUAACAAUAUUUAAUAUUGUCUUGUACCUAAACGGGAGUGAACUAAGUAAUUUAAUGUGGAGUUUUGUCAAUAUGCAACUCGUUGCAUAUUGAGCUUCAUUUAAUGUGUAGUAUUAAUUGUUGUGCUUCACCAUGCCUUGCAUAAUUGAAAUGGACAUGCAUCAUAUUUGAUUGUGCAUCAUGUCAUGCAUAUGUUGUGGUUAAUAUUAUGUGUUGAAUGUUGUUUCCAGUUUUCUUCUUCUCAAUAGAGUUCCGCAAGCGUGUCGGAGUGUGAGGAUCCAUUCAGCUACGUUGGUUCGUCUGCUUCACGGAUUCGCUCUUCUUCCAAGCAGGAUCACAUGCAAGUAGAUCAUUUUCCUAGAUACCAUUACUAUCAUUGCCAUGCUAGUUGUAUCGUUUCUUUCACUAUGUCUCGCUGCCUACCACUUAAUGUGAGCCUCCCAACUUUGCCAUGAAAAGCCUCUAACCCCUCCAGUUCCCAGCAAACAACUGUUUGGCUAUGUUACUGCUUGCUCAGCCUUCUUAUAGCGUUACUAGUUGCAGGUGCAGUUACUUCCAUGUGAAAACAUGGUUUCCUUGUUAUAUCACCAUAUUAUUGAUAUUUAAUUUAAUGCACCUAUAUACCUGGUAAAAGGCGGAAGGUUUGGCCUUUUGGCUGGGUGUUUUGUUCCGCUUUUGCCACCCUAGUUUUGGCAACCGGUGUUGUCACACUCUGUUUUCACUACCACUUUUUGUGUAAUUCAAAAAUCCGAGUUUUUUUUUUCAAAACUAGUGUUGUGA